AUGCAAUCAACAUCUUUCUGAACUCUUAGAGGAUUGGAGGACAUUUACAGGAAAAUGGCAUUAGCCUCAUAUGGAAACACUUUGACAGGCCCCUGAAAAUAAUUCCUUAACCACAAACAUGUCUUCUACUUGUCUGAUCUCAAAUUGUUCCAAAGUUUUACCUGUGUGAGUUCCACUUUGGGCCAAGAUGGAGUAAGAGGGUCCAUAUUUACCCUCCCACCUGAAACAACAUCUUAAAAGUGGGACGGAAAUGCCUGAGACAGUGGUUUUG
rnacentral:lncRNA from 1 species